UACGUAGGGGGCAAGCGUUGUCCGGAAUCAUUGGGCGUAAAGCGCGUGUAGGCGGUUCGAUAAGUCUGCUGUGAAAGUCGGGGGCUCAACCCUCGAAUGCCGGUGGAUACUGUCGGGCUAGAGUGCGGAAGAGGCGAGUGGAAUUCCUGGUGUAGCGGUGAAAUGCGCAGAUAUCAGGAGGAACACCAAUUGCGAAGGCAGCUCGCUGGGACGUAACUGACGCUGAGACGCGAAAGCGUGGGGAGCAAACAGG
rnacentral:rRNA from 1 species